GGUGAACGCUGGCGGCGUGCUUAAGACAUGUAAGUCGAACGGGCUCUUCGGAGCCAGUGGCGCACGGGUGAGUAACGCGUAACUGACCUACCCCAAAGUCGCGGAUAACGAUUCGAAAGAAUCGCUAAUACGUGAUGUGCUGUCAGAUCCUGUUCUGCCAGUAAAGAUUUAUUGCUUUGGGAUGGGGUUGCGUUCCAUCAGCUAGUUGGUGGGGUAAAGGCCCACUAAGGCGACGACGGAUCGCCGGCCUGAGAGGGUGGCCGGCCACAGGGGCACUGAGACACGGGUCCCACUCCUACGGGAGGCAGCAGUUAGGAAUCGUCCACAAUGGGCGAAAGCCUGAUGGAGCGACGCCGCGUGAGGGAUGAAGGGCUUCGGAUCGUAAACCUCUGAAUCAGGGACGAAAGACGCGAAAGCGGGAUGACGGUACCUGAGUAAUAGCACCGGCUAACUCCGUG
rnacentral:rRNA from 1 species